rnacentral:rRNA from 1 species
AACGAACGCUGGCGGCAUGCCUAACACAUGCAAGUCGAACGAGACCUUCGGGUCUAGUGGCGCACGGGUGCGUAACGCGUGGGAACCUGCCCUUAGGUUCGGAAUAACUCCCCGAAAGGGGUGCUAAUACCGGAUAAUGUCUUCGGACCAAAGAUUUAUCGCCUUUGGAUGGGCCCGCGUUGGAUUAGCUAGUUGGUAGGGUAAAAGCCUACCAAGGCGACGAUCCAUAGCUGGUCUGAGAGGAUGAUCAGCCACACUGAGACUGAGACACGGCCCAGACUCCUACGGGAGGCAGCAGUGGGGAAUAGUGGACAAUGGGCGAAAGCCUGAUCCAGCAAUGCCGCGUGAGUGAUGAAGGCCUUAGGGUUGUAAAGCUCUUUUACCCGGGAUGAUAAUGACAGUACCGGGAGAAUAAGCUCCGGCUAACUCCGUG